rnacentral:rRNA from 1 species
GACGAACGCUGGCGGCGUGCCUAAUACAUGCAAGUAGAACGCACAGUUUAUACCGUAGCUUGCUACACCAUAAACUGUGAGUUGCGAACGGGUGAGUAACGCGUAGGUAACCUGCCUGGUAGCGGGGGAUAACUAUUGGAAACGAUAGCUAAUACCGCAUAAUAUUGAUUAUUGCAUGAUAAUUGAUUGAAAGAUGCUAUUGCAUCACUACCAGAUGGACCUGCGUUGUAUUAGCUAGUAGGUGAGGUAACGGCUCACCUAGGCGACGAUACAUAGCCGACCUGGGAGGGUGAUCGGCCACACUGGGACUGAGACACGGCCCAGACUCCUACGGGAGGCAGCAGUAGGGAAUCUUCGGCAAUGGACGAAAGUCUGACCGAGCAACGCCGCGUGAGUGAAGAAGGGUUUCGGAUCGUAAAGCUCUGUUGUAAGAGAAGAACGGGUGUGAGAGUGGAAAGUUCACACUGUGACGGUAUCUUACCAGAAAGGGACGGCUAACUACGUG